ACGGUGGCUAAUACCGGAUAAGCCUUUGGGUAAAAAAUUAUUGCCCCAAGAGGAGCUCGCGUCUGAUUAGCUAGUAGGUGAGGUAAGAGCUCACCAAGGCAGCGAUCAGUAGCUGGUCUGAGAUGACGAUCAGCCACACUGGGACUGAUACACGGCCCAGACUCCUACGGAAGGCAGCAGUGGGGAAUUUUCCGCAAUGGGCGAAAGCCUGACGGAGCAAGACCGAGUGAGGGAGGAAGGCUCUUGGGUUGUAAAGCUCUUUUCUCAGGGAAGAAGCUCUGACGGUACCUGAUGAAUCAGCCUCGGCUAACUCCGUGCCAGCAGCCGCGGUAAUACGGAGGAGGCAAGCGUUAUCCGGAAUUAUUGGGCGUAAAGCGUCCGCAGGUGGCGAUUCAAGUCUGCUGUCAAAGCACGGGGCUUAACUCCGUUAAGGCAGUGGAAACUGAAUAGCUAGAGUGCCGUAGGGGUAGAGGGAAUUCCCGGUGUAGCGGUGAAAUGCGUAGAGAUCGGGAAGAACAUCGGUGGCGAAAGCGCUCUACUGGACGGCAACUGACACUCAGGGACGAAAGCUAGGGGAGCGAAUGGGAUUAGAUACCCCAGUAGUCCUAGCUGUAAACGAUGGAUACUAGGUGUAGCUUGUAUCGACCCGAGCUGUGCCGAAGCUAACGCGUUAAGUAUCCCGCCUGGGGAGUACGCACGCAAGUGUGAAACUCAAAGGAAUUGACGGGGGCCCGCACAAGCGGUGGAGUAUGUGGUUUAAUUCGAUGCAACGCGAAGAACCUUACCAGGGCUUGACAUGUCCGGAAUCCCGGUGAAAGCUGGGAGUGCCUUCGGGAGCCGGUACACAGGUGGUGCAUGGCUGUCGUCAGCUCGUGUCGUGAGAUGUUGGGUUAAGUCCCGCAACGAGCGCAACCCUCGUCUUUAGUUGCCAGCAUUAAGUUGGGCACUCUAGAGAGACUGCCGGUGACAAACCGGAGGAAGGUGGGGAUGACGUCAAGUCAGCAUGCCCCUUACGCUCUGGGCGACACACGUACUACAAUGGUCGGGACAGAGGGCAGCGAACGUGCGAAGGCAAGCUAAUCCCAGCAAACUCGGCCUCAGUUCAGAUCGCAGGCUGCAACUCGCCUGCGUGAAGGAGGAAUCGCUAGUAAUCGUCGGUCAGAAUACGGCGGGAAUCCGUUCCCGGG
rnacentral:rRNA from 1 species